rnacentral:snRNA from 1 species
GUGCUCGCUUCGGCAGCACAUACACUAAAAUAGCACAAUAAAGAG